ACGCGUGGAACCUUACCAGGUCUUGACAUCCUUCGCUACUUCUAGAGAUAGAAGGUUCCCCUUCGGGGGACGGAGUGACAGGUGGUGCAUGGUUGUCGUCAGCUCGUGUCGUGAGAUGUUGGGUUAAGUCCCGCAACGAGCGCAACCCUUGAUCUUAGUUGCCAGCAUUUAGUUGGGCACUCUAAGGUGACUGCCGGUGACAAACCGGAGGAAGGUGGGGAUGACGUCAAAUCAUCAUGCCCCUUAUGACCUGGGCUACACACGUGCUACAAUGGAUGGUACAAAGGGCAGCAAAACCGCGAGGUCGAGCGAAUCCCAUAAAACCAUUCUCAGUUCGGAUUGUAGGCUGCAACUCGCCUACAUGAAGCCGGAAUCGCUAGUAAUCGCGGAUCAGCAUGCCGCGGUGAAUACGUUCCCGGGCCUUGCACACACUGCCCGU
rnacentral:rRNA from 1 species